rnacentral:rRNA from 1 species
GUGGGGAAUAUUGCACAAUGGGCGAAAGCCUGAUGCAGCAACGCCGCGUGAGGGACGACGGCCUUCGGGUUGUAAACCUCUUUUAGUAGGGAAGAAGCGAAAGUGACGGUACCUGCAGAAAAAGCACCGGCUAACUACGUGCCAGCAGCCGCGGUAAUACGUAGGGUGCAAGCGUUAUCCGGAAUUAUUGGGCGUAAAGAGCUCGUAGGCGGUCUGUCGCGUCUGCUGUGAAAACUGGAGGCUCAACCUCCAGCCUGCAGUGGGUACGGGCAGACUAGAGUGCGGUAGGGAAGAUUGGAAUUCCUGGUGUAGCGGUGGAAUGCGCAGAUAUCAGGAGGAACACCGAUGGCGAAGGCAGAUCUCUGGGCCGUAACUGACGCUGAGGAGCGAAAGCGUGGGGAGCGAACAGGAUUAGAUACCCGAGUAGUCC